AUACCUUUCUCGGCCUUUUGGCUAAGAUCAAGUGUAGUAUCUGUUCUUAUCAGUUUAAUAUCUGAUAUGUGGUCCAAUGGGCCACAUGAUAUUAAAUUAAUUUAUUGAGGGGGAAGGGCCAUUUCAAUAGCUUGCUAUUGGGCCUUUCAAGUGUUGCUCAUACGUUGCACUACAGUAUGGGUUUGGUACACCCCAC
rfam:Cicer arietinum chromosome Ca5, whole genome shotgun sequence.